rnacentral:misc_RNA from 1 species
CUUCUUCAGCAUACAUAUUGGAGAGCAAAACUUUAUAGCCUGCCAUGCUGUCUACUGAGCCCAUUUGAAGUAACUUAUUGGCAAUAACCUCUCCCAGUUCAAUGGGUCCAUGAAGUCUACAAGCUCCAAGAAGUGAUCCCCAAAUUUCCAUUACAUUCCCUUCUUUGCCCAGUUGUUUAACAAACUCAUAGGCUUCAAUCAC